rnacentral:rRNA from 1 species
GAUGAACGCUGGCGGCGUGCCUAAUACAUGCAAGUCGAGCGAACAGAUGAGGAGCUUGCUCCUCUGACGUUAGCGGCGGACGGGUGAGUAACACGUGGAUAACCUACCUAUAAGACUGGGAUAACUUCGGGAAACCGGAGCUAAUACCGGAUAAUAUAUUGAACCGCAUGGUUCAAUAGUGAAAGACGGUUUUGCUGUCACUUAUAGAUGGAUCCGCGCCGCAUUAGCUAGUUGGUAAGGUAACGGCUUACCAAGGCAACGAUGCGUAGCCGACCUGAGAGGGUGAUCGGCCACACUGGAACUGAGACACGGUCCAGACUCCUACGGGAGGCAGCAGUAGGGAAUCUUCCGCAAUGGGCGAAAGCCUGACGGAGCAACGCCGCGUGAGUGAUGAAGGUCUUCAGAUCGUAAAACUCUGUUAUUAGGGAAGAACAAAUGGGUAAGUAACUAUGCACGUCUUGACGGUACCUAAUCAGAAAGCCACGGCUAACUACGUG